AAACACUUCACUGAUGAAGAAAUUUCUCAAUUCAUUCUUCUUUUUUCAAAGCGCGGGUUCUCACUAGAGCUCGAGGGACCAUGACUUGCGGUUCAAGUUUAUGGAUGACUACUAUAUAUAUAUAUUGUAGCCACGGGAGAGAGGUAGAUGUAGGGCAAUAUUAAUAUAGAAACUAGAAAGUUACCGCAUCUGUCCAUCUUUGAAGUUGAGGAGGAGUUGAGAGAUGGGACUGAUCUCAUGCUUUUUCAUCCGUCUUUUGACGUUGUUCGUAUUGAUUGUCUCUUCAUUCUUAGUCAUGCAAUCACCUCAUUACGUUCAUGCAGAUCCAAACCCGAGAAAAUUAAGGAUCAUACCAAGCCCACCCCCUCCUCCGAUUUCAGCCGCAGGACCACAUCAACAUGGCUAAUUUGGGACAUCCAUCUUACUAGUCUGAUUUAAUUAAUGAUUACGUAAAGUUUCUCUUCAGAUUAAAAAGAAAAUAUUACAUAAAGUAAUUGCUUGGAAUACAAGAUUUCCGUUUGCAAACGUACGCUUGGUGCACUAUCCCACAUCGUUUACAAAUAAAGAUUGAUAGCAAUACUCUACACCGCGUUCAAUGAUAUUUUUUUUUUAUGAUCUUUAAUUCCUAUACAAUGUAUAUAUAGUUCGGUUCUAUCAACUCAUGUAAUUUGGACCUUGAAGCCAUAUUAUUAUUUUUAGGAAUAUUUAUCAAAGUUACAGUAAAAUUUCUAGUUAA